GGCGGCUCCCGCUGCAGCUCCGGCUCCGGCUCCGGCUCGCCCUCAGCAGGCGCCGCGCUGGGGCAUUGUGCGCUGCCAGCCGCGCCGCUUCCACCGUUUAUCUUGCUUGGAUUCACCUUCAAGAGAUUUCCGGACCCAUCAACCAGCAGCCGCCGCAGACGGGGGAGUCUUUUACAUCAUUAUCUCGGAGACGCCGACUUAUGAAAAUCACGCGGUCGCUUGAGGAUGACGGACGCCGUUACUCCGAUUUGACGGCUAAGGGGAACGUUUCACUGCUGGCAGCUCCGAAGACAGAGCUCUCCGGAUCCAUCCCUCCUCACUCGUCGCUUUCACUGCCCCUCCCUCCCUUCUGCCUGACCCUUCGGGGCCCGCGCCGUCGGGCCGAGGGCACUCCCGGCCUCCUCCUCUCCGCUCUCCCCCAGCGCAAUGAAAACACAUCUGCCCAGCUCCUCGUUACCUGCUUUAAUUGCACCGUGGCCCUCUGCCAUUGGUUGCGCGUUAUUUCGGGGCAGGAGCGGCCCGCAACCGCAGGAGGGAGCGCGGCCCGGCCCGCAGAGAGCAGUCCGACCGCGUUCCCUCUCCGCCCGCAGCCGGACGGCUCUGCCUGCGGGCGGCGGGGAGCGGAGCGCUGCCGAGGUGGUGGGAUUCAGGCCGAGGGUGUCACGCAGCUCCCGGUCCGCCCCUCCCCGGCUCCAACCCCGCACGCCGGGGCCGGGCUGCCCGGAUAGCCGCAGGACUCGGGGAGAGCUCUGCCCUCACCGCAGAUCCCUGCGUGUGUUUUGCUGUCGUUGGCAAACUUUAUGUAAGUUCGGAGUGAAGAAGAAGAAAGGGUUAAAAAUAAAGAAAAUGACGGCUCCGCUCCAUCCCCUCUUAGUGCGCAGCCCUCACAGGAGUCCCCGCAGAAGUCUGUGGAUUCCCAGCUUGAUGCCAUAUGAACCAAGGGAUGGAACAUGUCCUCUUUGAAGACAGGCUGAGAGAGAUUGGGCUGUUCAGCCUGGAGAAGAGAAGGCUCUGGGGAGACCUGAGAGCAACCUUUCAGCAUCUGAAGAGGGGCUAUAAGAAAGAAAGCUACUGACUCUUUAGCAGGGUCUGUUGUGAUGGGACAGGGAGAAAUGGUUUCAAACUAAAAGAGGAGAGAUUCCAAUUGGAUGUAAGGAAGAAGUUCUUUACAAUACGUGUGGUGAGGUGCUGGAACAUCUUGCACAGAGAGAUGGUGGAUGCCCUGUCCCUGGAGGCAUUCAAGGUCAAGCUGGAUGGGGCCCUGAGCAACCAGAUGUAGCUGUAAUUGUCCCUGUUCAUUGCAGGGAAGUUGGGCUAGAUGGUCUCCAAGGGUCCCUUCCAACUCAAACAAUUCUAUAAUUCUGUAAUCUUCUGAUUCUAUGAAAUAUUUAUUACCUGAUUGCAUUUUCCAAAAUGUUUUUCCUUUCAUUGCCCUUGAAUAGUUUUUGUCUGCACAACUGUAUUUAUUAUUCAGAAAUACUUAUCAGAUGCUUCAUACAAAUAAGUCACUUAAAUUAUGUUUUGUAGUGCAGUUGAUUUAUAUCACCUAGUAUUGUGAACACUUGAUUGCAUGACUUAAAACCAAAUGGGAAAUAAAAUGUAAUGCCACAUAGUACAGUCAAUUAGCAGUCAGUAAUUCUGAAAUGGGACCAUAUCACAUAGCAUUUGUUUGAAUACCUACGAAUUCAAUAGAAGUCUUCAGCUAAUCUUUGUAAAACAUGUUUGUCAAGUCUGAGGAUAGAAAUAUUUUUCUGUUACCUAAUCUAAACCUCAGGUCUGCAGCUGUCUAAAUUCCAUGUGAUGAGCUUUUAUUUAUUUAUUUACUUUAAAAUCCAUUUACUGGACUCAUUAAAGACAAGAACAGUAGGAAAAACCUACUCCUAAUUUUCAAAUGGAUGUCCUAAAGAAUUUUACAGUAAGCAUCCCAACAGGUUUGGCUCAGAGCUAAGGGAAGACUCAUGGAUGUUGACUGAGUUGCUCACGUUUCUACAUCGUAGUCCAAUGACUUUAACCCUGUAUAUUCUCAUGAAAGCAAGAGCACAGCAUCACAUAGUCUAAAGUGAUAUAAAAUAAUUCUAAAAGUUUACAGUUAUCUAACCACUGUCUUUUGUUUUUAUUACAAGCAACACAUGCUCCAUGCCUAUUUAAAAUGAAGGCUUCUGAUUGAGCCAUUAGAAGUCAGUAACAAUACAUAGUGAACUUGAGAAAAAAUCUGUAGAGAUUUUGUUCUACAGAUUCUUCAGAACAUUAAUUUCACAUCCUGUUCUUUAAAAUGCGUUCCCUUUUGUAGCAAUAAUUAUUGAGGAUGUGAGUAAAUCAGAGUCUGAAUCAUUUAAGACCUCUACAUCCAUGAAUAAUGAUCACCAGUGACUAUUUCUAAGCUAUGUAUUUAUGCAGUAAUUUGAACAAUGAAAUCUUGAUGUGUUUCUUGAAAAUAAACAUUUAAAUAAACAUCUUCUUCUGCACUGAGAUG
ensembl:lncRNA